AUGCACGCUGGCGGCGUGCCUAAUACCUGCAAGUCGAGCGAACAGACGAGGAUCUUGCUCCUCUGACGUUAGCGGCGGACGGGUGAGUAACACGUGGAUAACCUACCUAUAAGACUGGGAUAACUUCGGGAAACCGGAGCUAAUACCGGAUAAUAUAUUGAACCGCAUGGUUCAAUAGUGAAAGACGGUUUUGCUGUCACUUAUAGAUGGAUCCGCGCCGCAUUAGCUAGUUGGUAAGGUAGCGGCUUACCAAGGCGACGAUGCGUAGCCGACCUGAGAGGGUGAUCGGCCACACUGGAACUGAGACACGGUCCAGACUCCUACGGGAGGCAGCAGUAGGGAAUCUUCCGCAAUGGGCGAAAGCCUGACGGAGCAACGCCGCGUGAGUGAUGAAGGUCUUCGGAUCGUAAAACUCUGUUAUUAGGGAAGAACAAAUGUGUAAGUAACUAUGCACGUCUUGACGGUACCUAAUCAGAAAGCCACGGCUAACUACGUG
rnacentral:rRNA from 1 species